rnacentral:rRNA from 1 species
CAAUAGCGUAUAUUAAAGUUGUUGCAGUUAAAAGCUCGUAGUUGGAUUUCGGAGUGGGCCAGUUGGUCCGCCGCAAGGUGUGUUACUGACUGGUUUGCUCUUCUUCGCAAAGACUGCGUGUGCCCUUAAAUGAGUGUGCGUAGGAUUUACGACGUUUACUUUGAAAAAAUUAAAGUGUUCAAAGCAGGCAAUCGCUUGAAUACAUUAGCAUGGAAUAAUAGUAUAGGACUUUGAUCUUAUUUGUUGGUUUUAAAGAUCAAAGUAAUGAUUGAUAGGGACAGUUGGGGGGCAUCAGUAUUCUGAAGCGAGAGGUGAAAUUCUUGGACCUUCGGAAGACUAACAACUGCGAAAGCAUUUGCCAAGGAUGUUCUCUUUAAUCAAGAACGAAAGUUAGGGGAUCGAAGACGAUUAGAUACCG